AUUGAACGCUGGCGGCAGGCCUAACACAUGCAAGUCGAGCGGCAGCGGGAAGUAGCUUGCUACUUUUGCCGGCGAGCGGCGGACGGGUGAGUAAUGCCUGGGAAAUUGCCCAGUCGAGGGGGAUAACAGUUGGAAACGACUGCUAAUACCGCAUACGCCCUACGGGGGAAAGCAGGGGACCUUCGGGCCUUGCGCGAUUGGAUAUGCCCAGGUGGGAUUAGCUAGUUGGUGAGGUAAUGGCUCACCAAGGCGACGAUCCCUAGCUGGUCUGAGAGGAUGAUCAGCCACACUGGAACUGAGACACGGUCCAGACUCCUACGGGAGGCAGCAGUGGGGAAUAUUGCACAACGGGGGAAACCCUGAUGCAGCCAUGCCGCGUGUGUGAAGAAGGCCUUCGGGUUGUAAAGCACUUUCAGCGAGGAGGAAAGGUCAGUAGCUAAUAUCUGCUGACUGUGACGUUACUCGCAGAAGAAGCACCGGCUAACUCCGUGCCAGCCGCCGCGGUAACAC
rnacentral:rRNA from 1 species